rnacentral:rRNA from 1 species
CAUGAAGCUGGAAUCGCUAGUAAUCGCGAAUCAGAAUGUCGCGGUGAAUACGUUCCCGGGUCUUGUACACACCGCCCGUCACACCAUGGGAGUUGGUAACGCCCCGAAGUCAGUGACCCCAACCGGAAGGAGGGAGCUGCCGAAGGCGGGACCGGUAACUGGGGUGAAGUCGUAACAAGGUAGC